CCCUAUUAUUUUUGAAUGUUAAUAUUUAUUUGCCUGAGUAGUAUUAGUUAUGUUCUUGAAACUUAAAGAAUUUGGCGGUAUCUCAUUCCGUUCAGAGGAAUCUGUCUCGUUAUCGAUAGUCCACGUUGGACCUUACUUGGUUUAUUAUUAAGGUUUGUAUACCGCCGUUUAUUGAUUAUCUUUUUAGAGUUUAUUUAAUUUUCUUGUUUCUUUAUUUUGAUUUAUUUCAGGUCAAGGUGCAGCUUGUUUCUAAGUGAAUGAUGGAUUACAUUAAUAUUUGUUUUUGGAUUGUUUUGGUUUAAAAUACUGGCAUGAAAUUGGAUUUGGUUGUAAUAAUUUGUAGACUGUUAUUAUGAUAAAUGGUUCUGGGAUAUGUACACAUCGCCCGUCGCUCUCGUUCAAAUUAUUGUUAAUGAGAUAAGUC
rnacentral:rRNA from 1 species